rnacentral:rRNA from 1 species
AAUAAAAAAUUUAAUUAAAAUUUAAUUUUUAAAUUAAUAAAAUAAAAUAAUUAAUAAAAAUAUUUUUUUUUGUUUAAGUAAUUAAUAAAUAAAAUAAUAAUAAUUAGUGUAUUAAAUUUAUUACACUUAUAUAUUUAUAGUUUAUAGUAAUGAAAUUGAAAAUUGAAAUAAUAUUGAAAAAUUUUUUUAAAAAAAAGAAUAAUUCAUUUUUUGUUCCUUGUGUAUCAGGAUUAAUUUAAUUUUAAAUUUUAAAUUUAAAUUAAUUUAUAAUUUAAAACAUUAAAAAAUUUUUAAUUUUUAUUGUAUCAAAAAUAUAAUAUAAAAAUUUUUAAAAAUGAAAUGUUAAUUGUUUUUAAAGUUAUAUAAUUUUUAAAGAAAUAAAUUUAAUUUAUAAAUAAGUUUUAAUUAUUAAUAAAAUAAUUUAUUUUUUUUUAUUUUAAUAAAGUUAAUUUAUUUAUAUAUUUUAGGGGUUGAGCUUUAAAAUAAAUAUUUAUAAAAAUUAAAUUUUUAAAAAAUAAAUAAUCUUAAAAAUAGAUAAUUUUAAUUAAAAUGUUUUAAUUAAUUUUUUUUUAAAAAAAUUUAUUUUUUUUUUAAUUUUUUAUUUAAAAAAUUAUUUUAAUAAAAUAAAAUAAUGAAAUAAUAAUUAAAUUAGUAGUUUAAAAUUUUUUUAAAAAAUAAUUUUUUUUUGAUUUUUUAAUAUUAUAAAUUCGGCAAUAUUAUUUUUAUCUGUUUAACAAAAACAUUGUUUUUUUAAUUUUUUUAUAAAAUAAGGCCUGCACACUGAAAAUUUUUAAAGAGCCGCGGUAAUUUGACCGUGCAAAGGUAGCAUAAUCAUUAGUUUUUUAAUUGAAGACUGGAAUGAAAGGUCUGAUAAAAAAUAAUCUUUAUUAUAUUAAUAUAAAUGAAUUUAUUAUUUUAGUAAAAAAACUAAAAUAUUUAUAAAAGACGAUAAGACCCUAUAAAGCUUUAUAAGAAAAUUAAUAUUAUUUUUUUAGAAUAUUUAGAAUUUUAAAAAUUUACUUAUUUAAUUGGGGUGAUUUUAAGAUUAAUUUAACUCUUUUUAAAAAUAAUCAAUUUUAAUUGUUUUUUAAUGAUCCUAAAUUUUUAGAUUAAUAAAUUAAGUUACUUUAGGGAUAACAGCGUAAUUUUUUUGGAGAGUUCAAAUCGAUAGAAAAGUUUGCGACCUCGAUGUUGGAUUAAAAUAUAAUUUAGGCGUAGAAGUUUAAAUUCUUAGUCUGUUCGACUAUUUAAUUUUACAUGAUCUGAGUUCAAACCGGUUUAAGCCAGGUUGGUUUCUAUCUUUAUAAAUUUAUUUUAUUUUAGUACGAAAGGACCAAAUAAAAAAUUUUAAAUUUAAAUUAAUGAAAUAAAUUAAUUUAUUAAAAAUAUUUUUAUAUUUUUAAGUUUAUUUAAAUAAAUAAUAAAUA